rnacentral:lncRNA from 1 species
UUCACAAUGUUGCGAUGCCGAAUAUGCAUCAAGGCAUCUAUUUCACGAUUAAAUAGCUCAUCAUCUUCUAUUGUAUGAAUCUUCUUUACUGCAAAUAUCUCGCAUGUUGGUAACUGAGCUCUAUAUACUGACCCACUACUUCCAAUUCCAAUGCAGUGAGCGUCACUAAAAUUUUCUGUGGCGUCAACAAUUUGCCUGUACAUAUCUCCUCCGUGAAAGUUCCAGAUGGCGAACAGCUUUGUCUGUCGCAAUUCAUUUGCGCAUUCCACCUUGGAUUUCUUCCUUCUACAUUGCAAAGUUACUAGUGCCAUGAUAGAUAGAAAAGAUACAACAACAGGUAUUAUAGCUAGUAAAAUAGCUCUGGGCUUCUUUUUUCGUUCACCACUUUGAUUAAGGUCACAAGGAGGCAAACCUUUCACUACACCACACAAUUGCUUAUUCUGCAUGAACCAUUCGAUUGGAGCUUCUUCAAACAACCUACUCUGUGGCACUGACCCUUCCAAUUUGUUGAAUGACACAUCAAUGGAUAGGAGGCUGAACAUGUGCUGAAAUGAUGGUGGGAUGCUACCUUUCAAUCCAUUGUGUGAAAGAUUCAAAACUUC